rnacentral:lncRNA from 1 species
CGGUAUGGAUGGAUACAGCAAUAACAGAGUCAUCAUCUUAACAACAACAUCUUAACAGCAACAACAAAUCCAUACGAGUAUGUUACUACCACCUUGAGCAGCAGCUUAGCUUAGCUAGCUAAAACACUACAGGUUCCAGAUAUAAAGGACAGACCCAGUGCAUAGAAGCUCCCACACAAGGUGGGGUCUGGGGAGGGAUUAUAGGAACCUAGUCUUACCCCUGCAAAGUGCAAUGCAGAGAGGCUGGUUCGAACCCAGGACCUCUUGGCACAAGUGGGGAGGACUUCACCACUGCGCCAGGCCUGCCCUCUACAGGUUCCAGAUAUAGAGAACUCAAAAUGGCAACAAACAUAUAACAUCAUCACCGACGCCGACAAACCACCGCCUCGGUCACGCGGCGUUUCAGUCCCCAAAACCGAAACGCGUCGCAUGGCUUCAUCUGCAAGUAUGUACAGUAACAAACAACCAGGGAAGGAAACCCUUGUGCAUUUUUCCACUGUCCAUCUUCCAUCUCCAAGCAGGAGCACACAUCAUCAGAGUCAGAGGCCUGCUUGCUCUGUUCACCGUUUUGUAGCUGGAGCAUCA